rnacentral:rRNA from 1 species
UGGAGGAUAAUCUCGGGAAACUGAGAAUAAUAUUCCAUAGAUUUAGGAUGCUGGAAUGCACUUAAAUUAAAAGCUUCGGCGCCUAAGGAUGAGUCUGCGGACUAUCAGGUUGUAGUCAGGGUAACGACCUGACUAGCCUACGACGGAUACGGGUUGUGAGAGCAAUAACCCGGAGAUGAUAUCUGAGACACGAUAUCAGGCCCUACGGGGCGCAGCAGGCGCGAAAACUUCGCAAUGUGCGAAAGCACGACGAGGGAAUCCCAAGUGCUGGCUCGUUAGAGUCAGCUGUUUUUAUGUCUAAAAAGCAUAGAGAGUAAGGGCUGGGUAAGACGGGUGCCAGCCGCCGCGGUAAUACCUGCAGCUCUAGUGGUGG